rnacentral:rRNA from 1 species
GGUUAAGCGACUAAGCGUACACGGUGGAUGCCCUGGCAGUCAGAGGCGAUGAAGGACGUGCUAAUCUGCGAAAAGCGUCGGUAAGGUGAUAUGAACCGUUACAGCCGGCGAUGUCCGAAUGGGGAAACCCAGUGUGAUUCGUCACACUAUCGUUAACUGAAUACAUAGGUUAACGAGGCGAACCGGGGGAACUGAAACAUCUAAGUACCCCGAGGAAAAGAAAUCAACCGAGAUUCCCCCAGUAGCGGCGAGCGAACGGGGAGCAGCCCAGAGUCUGAAUCAGCUUGUGUGUUAGUGGAACGGUCUGGAAAGUCCGACGGUACAGGGUGAUAGUCCCGUACACCAAAAUGCACAGGCUGUGAACUCGAAGAGUAGGGCGGGACACGUGGUAUCCUGUCUGAAUAUGGGGGGACCAUCCUCCAAGGCUAAAUACUCCUGACUGACCGAUAGUGAACCAGUACCGUGAGGGAAAGGCGAAAAGAACCCCGGCGAGGGGAGUGAAAAAGAACCUGAAACCGUGUACGUACAAGCAGUGGGAGCACCUUCGGGUGUGACUGCGUACCUUUUGUAUAAUGGGUCAGCGACUUAUAUUCUGUAGCAAGGUUAACCGUAUAGGGGAGCCGCAGGGAAACCGAGUCUUAACUGGGCGUUAAGUUGCAGGGUAUAGACCCGAAACCCGGUGAUCUAGCCAUGGGCAGGUUGAAGGUUGGGUAACACUAACUGGAGGACCGAACCGACUAAUGUUGAAAAAUUAGCGGAUGACUUGUGGCUGGGGGUGAAAGGCCAAUCAAACCGGGAGAUAGCUGGUUCUCCCCGAAAGCUAUUUAGGUAGCGCCUCGUGAAUUCAUCUUCGGGGGUAGAGCACUGUUUCGGCUAGGGGGUCAUCCCGACUUACCAACCCGAUGCAAACUACGAAUACCGAAGAAUGUUAUCACGGGAGACACACGGCGGGUGCUAACGUCCGUCGUGAAGAGGGAAACAACCCAGACCGCCAGCUAAGGUCCCAAAGUCACAGUUAAGUGGGAAACGAUGUGGGAAGGCACAGACAGCCAGGAUGUUGGCUUAGAAGCAGCCAUCAUUUAAAGAAAGCGUAAUAGCUCACUGGUCGAGUCGGCCUGCGCGGAAGAUGUAACGGGGCUAAACUGUGCACCGAAGCUGCGGCAGCGACACUAUGUGUUGUUGGGUAGGGGAGCGUUCUGUAAGCCUGCGAAGGUGGCCUGUGAGGGUUGCUGGAGGUAUCAGAAGUGCGAAUGCUGACAUAAGUAACGAUAAUGCGGGUGAAAAGCCCGCACGCCGGAAGACCAAGGGUUCCUGUCCAACGUUAAUCGGGGCAGGGUGAGUCGACCCCUAAGGCGAGGCCGAAAGGCGUAGUCGAUGGGAAACAGGUUAAUAUUCCUGUACUUGGUGUUACUGCGAAGGGGGGACGGAGAAGGCUAUGUUAGCCGGGCGACGGUUGUCCCGGUUUAAGCAUGUAGGCGGAGGUUCCAGGUAAAUCCGGUACCUUUUUAACGCUGAGGUGUGAUGACGAGGCACUACGGUGCUGAAGUAACAAAUGCCCUGCUUCCAGGAAAAGCCUCUAAGCAUCAGGUAACAUUAAAUCGUACCCCAAACCGACACAGGUGGUCAGGUAGAGAAUACCAAGGCGCUUGAGAGAACUCGGGUGAAGGAACUAGGCAAAAUGGUGCCGUAACUUCGGGAGAAGGCACGCUGAUAUGUAGGUGAAGCCCCUGCGGGUGGAGCUGAAAUCAGUCGAAGAUACCAGCUGGCUGCAACUGUUUAUUAAAAACACAGCACUGUGCAAACACGAAAGUGGACGUAUACGGUGUGACGCCUGCCCGGUGCCGGAAGGUUAAUUGAUGGGGUUAUCCGUAAGGAGAAGCUCUUGAUCGAAGCCCCGGUAAACGGCGGCCGUAACUAUAACGGUCCUAAGGUAGCGAAAUUCCUUGUCGGGUAAGUUCCGACCUGCACGAAUGGCGUAAUGAUGGCCAGGCUGUCUCCACCCGAGACUCAGUGAAAUUGAACUCGCUGUGAAGAUGCAGUGUACCCGCGGCAAGACGGAAAGACCCCGUGAACCUUUACUAUAGCUUGACACUGAACAUUGAGCCUUGAUGUGUAGGAUAGGUGGGAGGCUUUGAAGCGUGGACGCCAGUCUGCGUGGAGCCAACCUUGAAAUACCACCCUUUAAUGUUUGAUGUUCUAACGUUGGCCCCUUAUCGGGGUUGCGGACAGUGUCUGGUGGGUAGUUUGACUGGGGCGGUCUCCUCCCAAAGAGUAACGGAGGAGCACGAAGGUUAGCUAAUCCUGGUCGGACAUCAGGAGGUUAGUGCAAUGGCAUAAGCUAGCUUGACUGCGAGCGUGACGGCGCGAGCAGGUGCGAAAGCAGGUCAUAGUGAUCCGGUGGUUCUGAAUGGAAGGGCCAUCGCUCAACGGAUAAAAGGUACUCCGGGGAUAACAGGCUGAUACCGCCCAAGAGUUCAUAUCGACGGCGGUGUUUGGCACCUCGAUGUCGGCUCAUCACAUCCUGGGGCUGAAGUAGGUCCCAAGGGUAUGGCUGUUCGCCAUUUAAAGUGGUACGCGAGCUGGGUUUAGAACGUCGUGAGACAGUUCGGUCCCUAUCUGCCGUGGGCGCUGGAGAAUUGAGGGGGGCUGCUCCUAGUACGAGAGGACCGGAGUGGACGCAUCACUGGUGUUCGGGUUGUCAUGCCAAUGGCAUUGCCCGGUAGCUAAAUGCGGAAGAGAUAAGUGCUGAAAGCAUCUAAGCACGAAACUUGCCCCGAGAUGAGUUCUCCCUGAGACUUUAAGUCUCCUGAAGGAACGUUAAAGACGAUGACGUUGAUAGGUCGGGUGUGUAAGCGUAGCGAUACGUUGAGCUAACCGAUACUAAUGAACCGUGAGGCUUAACCUUACAACGCCGAAGAUGUUUUG